UACGAAGGGUGCAAGCGUUGCUCGGAAUUAUUGGGCGUAAAGGGUAGGUAGGUGGUGACAUUUGUCUGGGGUGAAAUCCCUGAGCUUAACUCAGGAAGUGCCUUGGAAACGGUGUCACUAGAGUGCUGGAGAGGUUCGCAGAAUUCUUGGUGUAGCGGUGAAAUGCGUAGAGAUCAAGAGGAAUACCAGAGGCGAAGGCGGCGAACUGGACAGUUCCUGACACUGAACUACGAAAGCGUGGGGAGCAAACAGG
rnacentral:rRNA from 1 species